UCCCACCCCCUUUGAGGGGUUAAGGCUCCCAGUAGACGACUGGGUUGAUAGGCCGGAUCUGGAAGCACCGUGAGGUGUGGAGGUGACCGGUACUAAUAGGCCGAGGGCUUGUCCUCAGUUG
rnacentral:rRNA from 1 species